rnacentral:rRNA from 1 species
UACGAAGGGGGCUAGCGUUGUUCGGAAUCACUGGGCGUAAAGCGCACGCAGGCGGAUCGUUAAGUCGGGGGUGAAAUCCCGAGGCUCAACCUCGGAACUGCCUUCGAUACUGGCGAUCUUUGAGUCCCGGAGAGGUGAGUGGAACUCCGAGUGUAGAGGUGAAAUUCGUAGAUAUUCGGAAGAACACCAGUGGCGAAGGCGGCUCACUGGCCCGGUACUGACGCUCAGGUGCGAAAGCGUGGGGAGCAAACAGG